rnacentral:lncRNA from 1 species
CCGGGGAACGGUAGCUGUGCUAGUUUCGAACCAAGUCGUCCGUGUAUCCUUUUUCUUUUCCUUUUUUACCACAUUCAUCUUACCAUUUUCACCACACCAUAUGGAUUUCACUCUGAGCAUUAAUGAGCAUGGAAUUUAUUUCAUAGCCACUUCAUUUACUCCAUGCUCAUAUGCAACAUCUUCCCAAUCCAUUGGUUUUUCCAACAUCACCACAUUCGAGAUCUCCAACCCCCUCAUCCUUUCUAUUUAUAAAAACUUUAAAAGGGCG